GCAAUCAUUAAUUUUUAAAGCUACGGAUGAUGUCCUCCGAAGCAGAGACCACAUGAAAUAAACAGAUCUAUUAUUCCUAUGGUACUGGGAUAAAGUUUGGGAAGAGAAGUCAACAGGUCUGAAGGAAUCACAGCACUUUGAAGCCACUGCCUGGGCAUGAGAAGCAGCUGAGAACAGCUCAGGCUCCUCAGAGAGCUCCUGGCUGUGGAACCAACUGCAGCCUCUCCAUCACCCUGGGGAGCCUUCAAAAAGCCCAGGCCUGAUUUGCUCCUGCUCCAACAAAGAGAAGAAACUCCAACAACCUGAGCCUGCCUUUUUGGGACCGAUCCUUUGAAUUUCACAGAAACAAGCUGCUACAGCUUUUGAAUGAACUUGCUGCUAUUUGCUCUCACUCUCUCCCUCUUCCAGCUGUAUUUCUCAUCGCAAAUAAAGCCCAAGAGGAGCCGAAGAAUUCCUAGGGAAGCACCAUUCAUAUCUUAAGAAAUUGUCACUGUCAAAAGAAAAAUGCACCAAUAAAGAAUAUCCAACCCAAAAGAUGUAUUAAAGAGUCCUAAAGGUACCAGGCAGAGCAGUGGAACAGUGAAGGCGUCCCUGCCAGAUCCUCCUGCAGGACUGACAACCAGACCCCAUCCUCCUGAUGGUGAGCUCUCACAAAGGACCUGGCCAUGCAAAGUCAAAGGGAAAUCCAGACAUCCAAAGGCUGCAGGUUCCUGGUGUUCACAGAGGGGCCCCGCUGAGAUAAAGAGCGAGACGCAGAUACAGCCAGUACCUGGCUGGCACCUCCCCACAUUACCACUGCAGGAAUGUUUACUAACAAUAAAUAGUAAUAAUGAGA